UGUCCUCCAUAGGAGGUCUAUAUUGAGCAGAUUCUUUUCGGUAUUGGGUGGUGGAACCGGAGCGUGCUCCAUCCACUCCAUGCAUUGACCUGGUAUUGCAGUGCUUCCAGGACCGGUGC
rnacentral:snRNA from 1 species